CUUAUUCAUGCACCUUACUCAUUCUUCCCUCGCUUCAAUUUCAAUGGAAAAACGAACUGAUUGCUUUCGUAGUUCCGACUUGGCUGGACAUUUCUAGAAGGGAUUUUCUUCUCUUCAACUGCAAGAUUCAUGCAUAACGCUUCCUCAUCUCCUCAUGUAAAUUAAAUACUGCCAGCAAUGAUCUCCGUUUACGACUCUUCCCCUACCGUUUAUCUCCUUCAAAAUCCUUUCUCGGCUCGCUUUUGCUCCCAAAAUUGCUAUCCGUUGAGAACCCCAUCUUUCUUUGUAUCUCUCUGACUGUGUUUGUAUGAUUAGAUUAUUUUAAUUAAAUCAUAUUGAAUGGUUUGAUUGAGGCCCUUUUCUGCUUUUUUAACAGUCAACUGCUCCCAAUUUGCGAUCCGGGUUCUUGAGAAAUCAUCUUAAACAAUUGCAGAAACAGGAAGCCGGAAAUCGGCAUGGGUAUUUUGUAUGACGAUGUGGUGACCGUCAACCCAACACGGAUGGAAAGCGACCCAACCGUGAUUGCUGAUUUCAUGCAAUUUGUGCCGCAUCAAACCCUUCUUUGGUCUUAGCAUCGUCAGAGGAACUUGCUGGCCAGUCAAUACAGAAUCUGGAACUCUUGGGAGUUCAGGUCAGUUUUAAGAUAUAGGUUUUGGCUUAUUCUUUUGAAUGUUUUAUCACUUACAAAGCUUCUUUAUGGUUGGAGGUAAAGUCCUUACUUUAGUGACUGUUAUAUACUGCUUCAUGAUCUUUCUGUUUCAUGAGAAGGUAGGUGGCACUACUUCAUUCUGAAAUUUUCAAACUAGACCUUGACUAUUGCGUGUGAAGGCUUGCAAAAUUUUAAAUUAAAUGUACAGUGGGCUGUCCAUCUUGACGCUUGUUAGGAUGGAGCCUUAGAACAUGCGGCGCAGGACAGCAAGUGGUGAGAUUGAUAGAAACACUAUGGAACCCAUAUAUUCUAGAGUACAAAGAUGGGUGGUGUAAAAGGGCUGAGAUGAUCAAGAGAACUAAAGGGAAGCUUAUUCCAUAAGAGAAGCUCUGCAAAUGGCUGAGCCAACUAUUACUAGCUGUGGACUACCUGCACUCCAAUUGGAUCGUUCACAGAGAUCUAAAAUGCUCCAAUAUAUUCUUUACGAAAGACAACAACAUUCGACUAUAUAAGAAGGCGGCAUGUAUCAAUCAACGAAGAUGAGCUUGCAAUCCAUGGCAUGCCUUGCCAUAUUUUUUGGACUUCCAGGACUGCUCAGUGCCCAACAAAGAUGACCUUGCUUCCUCCGUAUUGACUGCAUUCGGCCUUUUGGGUUUUGUCUAUAGCUUCUUGAGUAUCUCUAGAGACUUUCGACAAGUUAGACUAGCAGAAUAUAUACUAGUUUAGUAUCUAAAUGGAAUUAGGCAGAGUGUGGACUAUAUUGAUAAUGAGACGAUGCGUCUUACACAAACACCUGUGUCACCAAAUUCCUUGGCCUUCACAUAUAUCUUUGUAUUCAUGUUGUGGGAUCUGCAAACUGUAUGUCCAGAGCUUCUUGCGGAUAUGAUGUGACAAACCACAUGGUUUUUUUUUCUUUUUUAUGACAAUAAAUGAUGUAAAUUUAUGAUACUAACUCGUGGUGGUUAUAAAUUAUUAGUUUCUGGACUUGCGGUCUGAAAGUAACUAUUUUUCCCCU